GAUUGCUGUGGGAGCAGGAGCUGUACACACCUUUCAAAUAUAAAACCCCCUGUCCCUAUUUCCAUACAUUACACACUGAUGACUGUUGGGCUGGAUUAAACUUUGCUGAUGAGGACGAGGCUAGCCGAUUCUGUAGUGCUGUACAAAAGUGCAUCAACAGUACUAAAGUGCGUCCUGUAUUCAUGUACACUCAGAGUCUAGACUCUUCCUCUGAA